AAAAUGACAGGUGGUGCAUGGUUGUCGUCAGCUCGUGUCGUGAGAUGUUGGGUUAAGUCCCGCAACGAGCGCAACCCUUAUGACUAGUUGCCAGCAUUUAGUUGGGCACUCUAGUAAGACUGCCGGUGACAAACCGGAGGAAGGUGGGGAUGACGUCAAAUCAUCAUGCCCCUUAUGACCUGGGCUACACACGUGCUACAAUGGAUGGUACAACGAGUUGCGAGACCGCGAGGUCAAGCUAAUCUCUUAAAGCCAUUCUCAGUUCGGACUGUAGGCUGCAACUCGCCUACACGAAGUCGGAAUCGCUAGUAAUCGCGGAUCAGCACGCCGCGGUGAAUACGUUCCCGGGCCUUGUACACACCGCCCGUCACACCAUGAGAGUUUGUAACACCCGAAGCCGG
rnacentral:rRNA from 2 species